rnacentral:rRNA from 1 species
GUCUGUUUUCGUAGGUGACCUGCGGAAGGAUCAUUACCGAGUGAGGGCCCUCUGGGUCCAACCUCCCACCCGUGUUUAUUUCGGGUUUCCGUAGGUGACCUGCGGAAGGACAUUACCGAGUGAGGGCCCUCUGGGUCCAACCUCCCACCCGUGUUUAUUUUACCUUGUUGCUUCGGCGGGCCCGCCUUAACUGGCCGCCGGGGGGCUUACGCCCCCGGGCCCGCGCCCGCCGAAGACACCCUCGAACUCUGUCUGAAGAUUGUAGUCUGAGUGAAAAUAUAAAUUAUUUAAAACUUUCAACAACGGAUCUCUUGGUUCCGGCAUCGAUGAAGAACGCAGCGAAAUGCGAUACGUAAUGUGAAUUGCAAAUUCAGUGAAUCAUCGAGUCUUUGAACGCACAUUGCGCCCCCUGGUAUUCCGGGGGGCAUGCCUGUCCGAGCGUCAUUGCUGCCCUCAAGCACGGCUUGUGUGUUGGGCCCCGUCCUCCGAUCCCGGGGGACGGGCCCGAAAGGCAGCGGCGGCACCGCGUCCGGUCCUCGAGCGUAUGGGGCUUUGUCACCCGCUCUGUAGGCCCGGCCGGCGCUUGCCGAUCAACCCGAAUUUUUAUCCAGGUUGACCUCGGAUCAGGUAGGGAUACCCGCUGAACUUAAGCAUAUCAAAA